GCCCGGGUGGCGGAAUUGGUAGACGCUGCGGACUUAAAAUCCGCUGUUCGAAAGAACGUGCCGGUUCGAGUCCGGCCCUGGGCACCA
rnacentral:tRNA from 2 species